GACUGAGACACGGCCCGGACUCCUACGGGAGGCAGCAGUGGGGAAUAUUGGACAAUGGGGGAAACCCUGAUCCAGCGAUGCCGCGUGAGUGAAGAAGGCCUUCGGGUUGUAAAGCUCUUUCGCGAGGGAAGAAAAGGCAACGGUAAAUAAUCGUUGCCACUGACGGUACCUCGAUAAGAAGCACCAGCUAACUACGUGCCAGCAGCCGCGGUAAUACGUAGGGUGCGAGCGUUAAUCGGAAUUACUGGGCGUAAAGCGUGCGUAGGCGGCCAUGCAAGUCAGAUGUGAAAGCCCCGGGCUUAACCUGGGAACUGCGUUUGAAACUGCAAGGCUAGAGUUCGGCAGGGGAAGAUGGAAUUCCAUGUGUAGCGGUGUAAUGCGUAGAUAUAUGGAAGAACACUAAUGGCGAAGGCAUUCUUCUGGGCCGAUACUGACGCUGAGUCACUAAAGCGUGGGGAGCAAACAGGAUUAGAUACCCUGGUAGUCCACGCCCUAAACGAUGUCCGCUAGCUAUUGGAUUUUAGAUUCAGUGGCGAAGCUAACGCGUUAAGCGGACCGCCUGGGGAGUACGGUCGCAAGAUUAAAACUCAAAGGAAUUGACGGGGACCCGCACAAGCGGUGGAUGAUGUGGUUUAAUUAGAUGCAACGCGAAAAACCUUACCUGCUCUUGACAU
rnacentral:rRNA from 1 species